rnacentral:lncRNA from 1 species
AUGACUGGCAUCCCAAACAGAUUUCUUUUUAGCAAGAAAGAUAGCCAGAGUGCUUGGAGAUUGGGAGCAUGAAUUUUCUUUCAAGGACAAAGGAUGGAGACCAUUGGAAGAAAUGAUUUUUAAGCCCAGUGCUCUGUUCUCCAGGAUGGCUGCUGAUGAGGUGACUAAGUUUACCCAUUCGAGUCAUCUGUCCUGAUGAAAUGUACACCUUAUCCAAGGUCAUGUUGAUGUUAGAGCCUUUGUUGACUUUUUCUUGUCUCUGUGUUCCAGUUUCACCUAUUAAGAGCAAAUAAAAAGAAAGGGUCUGAACUAAGAUUUUAACAUGAUAGUAUAGCUAAGCAAGAAUACCUUUUUCUUGCUCUAGUCAGCAUUUCCUCCCCAGGUUGAGUACAAGUAAAUAGGGCUUUGAGUUAUGAACUCUGAAAAGACAAACAUAAAGUUAAUCCCGUUAUCUGAGAAACAUAUUUACCUUGCAGGAAUAUAGUACUUUCUAUAUCUUACUAGAAAUAGAAAUGUCUCUAACUUAUAAACAAUAUAUCAGAAAACUAUAACAAACACCAUAUUUGAUAGUGAAUUAUUAGAAACACUAGGGUAACAAUGGGGACUAUUAACCAAAUCAGUGACCAUAGGAGAAUGAGUGGGAUGAGGAGGUAGAGAGCCAGCCGAAUGGAGAGUUCCAACACGUCUGCAGCUCUGGAAAGAAGUAAGCUUGGUGGGAAAGAAUCUGUGGGUGACCCAUAGGCGAGAGUGGAAGGCAGGAAUCAGAUGAGAUCAAUUAGGGAGAGAGAGUAGGGUGAGAAGAGAACCAAGAAGAGAAGCCAGGAACACUAUCUUAAAGGAGCCAUGACACUGGGGAGCCAGAGACUGAGUCUGGAAGGGAGCAGACAGAGGAACAGAAGCAAAGGGAAACCUGGAGGGAAACGGCACUGAGGAGGAGGGUGUUCUUCACAGAGUCAAAGUAGAGGGCAAGGAUUUAGGAGUCACGAUUUGCUACUGAGAGGCUACUGUUAACCUUGGCCAAAGCUGUUUCUGUGGAGCAGGGAGAGCUAAGGGCCGUGUGGGUGGGUAUUCAAUGGUAAAAUCAGAAGUAGAAGGAGAAAAUGAGCACUUCCAUCAGGAAGGGGAAGUGAGCUGUGUGUAGGCACCAUGAGAAGGAGGUGAAGUUCCAGGGGAGUUUUAUGAGGUUGUGGUGAAAUCAGCAUUUUUGUAAGUCUGAAGGGGAGCAAGCAGUGGAGAGCAGAGAGACUGACAAGAGACAGCAGAAAGCAGAUGACUGAUGGGGCAAGUUCCUGCUGAAGGUGGGAGGAAAGAGAUGCUCAUAAAAGUGAAUUACUGUUUCACCGUGGAGAAAACAUAAAUGAAAUCAUUUACACUGCCAUUCACUUAUUAAUUCAAUAAGUAUUGAUUAAGUUUCUACUAUGUCCCAGGCACUGAGCUGGUGCUGGAAAUAAGAUAGAAAAAAUUCCCACCCUAUAUUAUGUAAGUUCAUUAACUUAAAACAAAAGGAAAACCAAAUCCAGAAACAAACAAAAAUUUGGCCCCUGUCAGGCCAGCGCUAAAGGAGGCAUGGUCUUGGAGGAAGUGUGUGUGACUGCCAGGCACUGGAGUCCCUGAGCAGGAAUGCUGCUCAUCUCAAAGGCAACACAAAGUGGCAGCU